UACAGAGGUCUCAAGCGUUGUUCGGAUUCAUUGGGCGUAAAGGGUGUGUAGGUGGCGCGCUAAGUCGGGUGUGAAAUUUCGGAGCUUAACUCCGAAACUGCAUUCGAUACUGGCGUGCUUGAGGACUGGAGAGGAGACUGGAAUUUACGGUGUAGCAGUGAAAUGCGUAGAGAUCAUGAGGAAGACCAGUGGCGAAGGCGGUUCUCUGGGCCUUACCUGACGCUGAGGAGCGAAAGCGUGGGGAGCGAACAGG
rnacentral:rRNA from 1 species